UCCGAUAUGGUGUAGUGGUUAACAUCGUUCGCUCUCAUGGGUUCACGGGCUUCUAAACCUGUUCACCUGCGAUCCGAACAGCCCCGGGUUCGAUUCCCGGUGUCGGAA
rfam:Arthrobotrys oligospora ATCC 24927 unplaced genomic scaffold scaffold00170, whole genome shotgun sequence.